rnacentral:lncRNA from 1 species
UGACCUCUCCCAGGUGGGCACAGAACUCCCAGGCUCAGGACUCACCGUGGACUCCAGGGCUCCGCAGGCAUUCAGGGGAAAGGGGUGGGGAUGCAGGAAGGAGGCUCAGCCCAGAGGGCGGGGCCAAGAUCCUGAUUGGAGGAAAUCAAGGUGAGCGCGCUGCUACAAACUGGGCCCCUAUUUCUAGUUGGUGGCCAAACAUUUUGCCUGGGGCUGGGCCUGGGGCUGGGCCCGGGGCUGGGCCCGGGGCUGGGCCUGGGGCUUUGCCCGGGGCUGGGUCUAGGGCUGGGUCCAGGGCUGGGCCGCGGACUGGGCCUCGGACUGGGCCUCGGACUGGGCCUCGGACUGGGCCUCGGACUUGGCCUCGGAUUGGGCCGAGGAUUGGGCAGAGGCACGGGCCUACUGAUGGGCCUCCUGCUCGUGCCAGGUCGCCGCCGAGGUCUGCUUUGGCGGUUUCCACAUUCACGCAUCAGCCCGUUCACUGCGUCCGGGAGAAAACAGCUGGCGAGGCUCGGUUCCCCCCCACUCUCCGCCGGGAAGAGCAUGGCUUCGGGCGGCCCUGCGCAGAGAACGCAGAUGUGGACCCUCGGAAAGGAUGGUGACAGACAACUCUAAUACCAGCCCUUGGCAGGCAGAGGCAGGAGGAUCACUGCAAGUACAAGGGCAGCUUGUGCUCCAGAGCGAGGUCACAGCGACCUGAACCACACAGAAGGCACAGCCUCAAAAACAAUCCUUGGUAAGUUGCCCAGGCUAGACUUGAAUUCAAGAUGUUCCUGACUCCCUCAGGAGGACCUGGGCUGACAGGCACAGACAACUGCUCCAUGCUACUCUGUCAUGUUUUCUAGCCUUCUCUCUCACUUUUAUUUCCCAGUACUGGCUAUGGAACUCAGGACCUUUCGCUUGCCAGGCAGGUGCAACUGAACUGCAUUCCUGGCCCUCUAUCGUUCUCUCUCUUCUCUAACCAUCUAAAAAAUGAUUCAACAGCAAGUUUUGGAAUUCAUGUCUGCUUCCACCUCGGUACAUCUUUGGGAAAGCCUAGGCAUGAAAAUGUUCUCUUGUACAUUGACAGUAUAAUGAUAAAAGGCAGAAAAUUCAGCAUGAACACAAGACUCUUACAAGAUCCAAAAUCUGUAUUCAGCCUUCAGCCACCUAAGUAACCUCCUGCUUAGCUUUUUCCUCCUUCAGGUCAGCGUCUUAGUCACCUCCUCAUGUCUGAGACCAAUCCUCAACACCCCCAGCUUAAAGGAGGAGAGGUUUACUUUGACUCACAGUUGUAGAAGUCCAGGUCCUUCUGUGGUCAGUGAUUCCCAGGGAGAAGGGCGAGGUGGAUGGGCCUGGGAGGAGGAGAGCUGCUCACAGCAGGGUGGCCAGGAAGCAGACAGAAGGAGGAGCAGGAGGAAGAUAAA